GCUCCAUCACUCCCCUGCCCCAAUCUUACCUCCUUUUACUUCACGCCACCUCCAAACCCCACCCGCCCCUUCCCGCCCUGUCAAAAUCCAGGAAAGACAGGAAGGAAGGAAAGAAGGAAGAAAGAGAAAGGGAGGUAAAGAAAAAGGGGGAAAGAAGGAAAGUUAGAGAAGAAGAAGAAAAGGAAAGAAAAGGAAAGAUGGAAGGAAAGAAAAGAGAGACAGCAGAAGAGAAAGAAAAAGGGGGAAGGAAGGAAAGAGAGAAGGAAAGAAAAAAGGGAAUGAAAGAAGGAAAGAGGGAGUGAAGGAAGGGGGAAGAUGUAGAGAAAGAGGGAGGGUAAGGAAAGAAGGAAAGAGAGAAGGAAGAAAAGAGACCAGAAGAGAAAGAAAAAGGGGGAAGGAAGGAAAGAGAUAGAGAAGGAAGAGGAGAAGGAAAGAUGGGAGGGAAGGAAGGAAGGAAGGAGGGAAAGAAGGAGAGAAAGAGGGAAGGUUGGCCACAGCAACACGUGGCGGGUAAAGGUUGUUAUUUCUAUUAUUAUUAUUAUGCUAUUAUUCCUAUUAGACCCUGGGGGAAUGGGAGAGGUGUCAGGUCCCAGAGGCAAUGCAUUGCAUUAUUGUUAUUGUUAUGAUGGUGGUGAAAUAAAAGGAAAUAAAAAGUGAAGGAAGGAAGCAAACAGGGAGGGAAGAAAGGCAAAGGAAGAAAGGGGGAGGGAAUGAAGGAAAGAGAGAAGGAUGAAACCAAGUAGUGAAAGAAGGAAAGAAAGAAAGAGGUAGAGAAGGAAGAAAGGAGAGAAAGGG